CCAACGCCUUACGAUGUUUCAAAUUGGAAAUGUAUAUAUAUUUUAGCGUUGAUGUAAGAAGCUGUACAACAACAUAUAUGUAAGUAAAGUGUUUGGCAGCCGUCAAUAAGAAAGUCGAAUCACUGUGCGGUAAACCACAUUAACGACAUGAAUGUCUCCGAAUUACUAAUUGAGAGGACGUUCCAUGCCCUUAAAAGAGAAUUUCUUUUAUAUGUGCAUAUCAGAUAUGAUUAAAGUCGUAAUGCCCAUUAACAAUAUAUAAUGGUGACAUUGAUGUUGCUAACAGCUUUACACACAUAUCUCAAUUUUACUUCACAGAUCAGUUGGCUUUAUAAGCACCAUUGGAACAGUGCUUUUGCUUUUGCUUUUGCUCGUAUAAGUAUUAAGAGGAAAUUACUAAUAUAAAACCUUAGUUUUUCAUUUUUUUCCAAGUCCAAACAUAUUGUUUUUAUACAUUAGCUUCUCUUGAUUACCGCCAAUUUCUAGUCGAAAAAAUUAUUUUUUUAAGAAAUCCUACAUUUGCUGAGAAGAAAUGUUGAAAACGUAGUAACUACACAGUGUACCACUAUAUUGUUGGAUAACUUUGUAAACUCCAACGUACUGUUUUGUCAUACUCUUAUUGUCAACUUUAGAAGCAAGAUGUAGAAUUAAUAUACUUGUAAAUAACUGAAACACCAUUUUUGUCGAGACUUAACUUCAA